AUGCAGAUCUUAUUACGCAUGCUGAAUUCUUCAUCAACAACCUCAAAGAGACAUGAAACCUUCACUACGAACAUUCAAAAGUCCAGAUCAGGCAUUUCCCGAUUGAGUAUGUGGCGACUGCGAAGCAAGGGAACACGACGGACUGUGGCUUUCACGCAUUGGAAUACUUUGCAAAGUGGGAAGGCAGAAUUGUCCCCGCUAUCACGGCUGCAACGGUCGUUGAGCUCCGGAAAAUACACACAUGGAACUAGUUGA
rnacentral:rRNA from 1 species